UAAGAGUCGGUGCCCACGAAGUCGCCGCAGCAGAGGAAGAGGCCAUAGACGGCGUUGUUUGGGGUUUGGACUGUGGCGUUGUAGAAGCCAGUGGAGCGGUUGGCGUUGGAGGAGAGGGUGGAGAGGAGGCGGUUGACGUUGGACUGGAAGGUGGAGUUUCGGGUGAAGGUAGUGGUGUUUGGACAGACGUGGUAGAGAUAAUCUGCUUCCGUAUUGGUCAGAAAGCUGGGCAGAGUAAAAAUGGAGAAAAUCAAAAGAAGGGGGUGGCAGCAAGACUUUUCAGUUUUAAGUGUUGACCAGAAGAGUUCCUCUCAUACAACGGGGUUUUAGCCUCAGUGCCAUCAACCUCUAGUGAGCGCUUGCAAGUUGUUCAAAAGUUGCACUAUUCUGUCCACUGACGAAUUGUUUAGUGGUGAAAUGGUGAAAAAAAACAAAGGUGAUUUUGGGGACACCAAAUUUUUAAGCUAAUUUUUUAAAACCAAAUAACAUAAUUGUUGAUAAUUAAAUUAUGUUAAUUAACGUAUUUAUUUUUUA